CCUACGGGAGGCUGCAGUGAGGACUAUUGGUCAAUGGUCGGGAGACUGAACCAGCCAAGCCGCGUGAGGGAUGAAGGUACAGAGUAUCGUAAACCUCUUUUGUCAGGGAACAAAGGCGGGGACGUGUCCCCGGAUGAGUGUACCUGAAGAACAAGCAUCGGCUAACUCCGUGCCAGCAGCCGCGGUAAUACGGAGGAUGCGAGCGUUCUCCGGAUUUAUUGGGUUUAAAGGGGGCGCAGGCGGUCUGUUAAGUCAGCGGUAAAAGCCCGGGGCUCAACCCCGGCCCGCCGUUGAAACUGGCAGUCUCGAGUUGGAGAGAAGUAUGCGGAAUGCGCGGUGUAGCGGUGAAAUGCAUAGAUAUCGCGCAGAACUCCGAUUGCGAAGGCAGCAUGCCGGCUCCACACUGACGCUGAGGCACGAAAGCGUGGGUAUCGAACAGGAGUAGAUACCCCUGUAGUC
rnacentral:rRNA from 1 species